UGUCUUCAUUGGAGAAUUACUUGUUUAGGUCUUCUGCCCAUUUUUGGAUUGGGUUGUUUUAAGAAUUUUUAAACAAGGGUACAGUCUUCUGUGCAGGGUCUUUUGGCUGUAACGGAUGUUGUUGGGACAAUUGGUGAAAGUUGAAUGUGGUCUGAGGACUGAAUCAGUGUUAACCUCCCCAUCCGGCUGGUUGUGUCAUGGUUGUGGGGGAGAACGUUCUUGUUGUAGGACUUCCACACUUAAAACAUGUGAGGCUGGCAGGGCACUGUGUUGAUAACUUACUUUCAAAUAGUUCAGGAAAAGAGUCCUUUGUUUUCUUUUUUUGCAACAUGUCAUUAAGUUUGAUAUUGUUUCAAACAAGAAAGAGUGAUGGGGGAGGGAGGAAAGAGUUAGGGGAGAGGAAGGGCCUCUCUAAUAAGGUGACGUUUGACCAGAGACCUGAAUGAAGUGAGGGAGAAGCUGGGCGUCUGGAGGAAGAGCAUUCUAGGCAGAGGGAAUAGAAUGUGCAAAGGCUUUGAGGAGGGGCAAGUGGUGUUUAGCUAGGGGUCCAGUAAGGUUGCUGCCGAGUGAUGGAGUGGGAAAGAGGCAAGUGAUGGGUCAGGGUGGUAAUGGGGACCACAUCAAAGUCUAGGUAAGGGUUUGGGGUUUUGGAGGGUUUGCUCUGCAGGGGGUACGUAAACCCACUCCGUGUCAGAAGGGUUGCUCUGACUGCUGUGUGGAAGUAGUCUACAGAGCAGCAAGAUUGUAAGCAAGGGGGCCAGUUGGGAGAUGAGGAGGGUCAUUCACUCUCUGGUGGCUAUUUGGGCUGCAGAAACUUGCAGGAAGGCUUCAAAGAGCCACCAACUGGCCCCCCGAGCACAGAGCCCUGGGAUGGCUCAGCCCCAGCAGCAGGGAAGCCAUCUGACUGCUCCCGUCCCUUCUGCCCGUCUUCCCUUGGAGACCUGCCAAGAUGUGUCCUGCCCAGAAGUUGCUCACCAAGGGGCAGCUCUGAUCAUGACUUGCCAAGAAGGUUGAGAAGCCAGCUGGUUGCAUUUUUAAUCUAAUUUUUCUAUUAUUUGGCACAAGUGCUAAAAUGUCCUUUUAAAUUAAUUAUCAUAGAACCAAAGACAGGCUUAGAGAGAAAUAUUGUAAUUAGCAGAUCCUGUCUCCUUACCUGGGGCUGCCUGACAACCACAGCACUCUUGUCCUGUGCAGAACCUCUGAAUGAAAGGAUCUUGAGGUUUUGUCUGGUCUCAACUGACAAAGAAAUCAGUGCAUUGAGCCAUGAAUUUUGGACCCCAAAGGACCUUGGUAAGGAAUAACUCCAGUCUCCUCUUUCUCUGGACCCAUAAGGUCUGUUGGGUGGCUGAGAUUCAGCUGAUCUUGGUUGGACUCAGCUGGGCAUGGCUCCAAAUUCCAAGUCCACUUUGGGCCUGCUUCCUAGAUCUCUGUCUGGGACUGGCACCACCUGGGGCAGGGACUUCUCGUGGUUAUGGCACAAGAGACCGACUCGAACCAGUUAUGCCCAUAAAUUCAGACGCCUCCUGGCUCCAAGCAGAUCACAUCAUGAGUGGAGCUGGUGAGCAGCGUGGGAGGUCACACGGAGGAGCAGAAGAGCCAGGGUCUGAACCUGCAUCUUUCAACUCCACGUCCAUGGGUCUGGCUGCCGCAGUGAGUGACUUCCCAGCCAAUGAGUUUCUCAACACGCAUCCCGAUGUGCUUGGGCCUGGGAUGAAGGGCCUUCAUCCAGCUCUCAUAAACGCUGUGUCCACCAGACCCCAAAGGUCUGUCUGGGCUGACGAGGUUCAGGGCUGUCCAAUGAUGCUCUCCCAACACAGCGGGAGCCUGGGUGGCCUCGCACGAUGGCCUCGAACAUCUCCUGUCUCGGCCUGCAGGUGUGCGGGUGGGCCUGCCAGGGCCAGCAGAAGUGGCCUGGAGCACCACAGGCCGGGGAUGCAGGACGCUGAGCUCUCCUCCUGUGGCCUUCCCUUCCACCUUGGAUGUGACCGUCCCUCGGAUUUCUCCCUCAGUGAAAUAAGAACCAAGGUCAUCGGCCAAGUGUGGAGAGAGGGCAGAAGAAGAGGGAAUCACUCGGACAAUGCUAAGGGCCCACCUGAGUCACGUCUAGUAAUUCAGACAUUGGCACAGAGGCAGAAGAAAGGUGCACACCGGACUUGGAGCCCACUGACUCGUGCUUACAAGGACAGGAAAGAACAGGUCCUAGUGGAAUGUCCUUUCCAAGGCACUGUUGGUAUCUGUUCUACAAAAUGAAACCCUUAAAGAUGCUCAGAUGCUUCUGUGCACGAAGCACCCCCAUUGGCAUCGCACUUAGAGAUGAGCACUCUGCUAACUCAGCUCCUUCUCGGGCAGCUGCUCACAGAUCUGUUCGGGUGGGGGAGACCUCUCCUGGCCUUCCUCAAAACCAUCAUUUGUGUAACCAUCCCCAGGGCUACAGACAGCUAAGAAGUGAGGAAAAGCAAGCAACAUCUGGUGUUAAACAAAUACCAUCAUCUUACAAAUGACUCAUCUCUGGGAGAAUGAUUCGUGCAUAUGCAGAGCAGAGGGGAGUGAACACCAGGACCCGAUACUAGAAAAUCAACACCUGGAAGGCUGUUGUAGGACCUCCUGAGAGCUCUACUGUGUCUCCAGCUAAAUGCCAUUUUGGGAAAAAGAGAAGGUGCUGGUGUUCAUAGCUUUUAGUCACACUGGACAGGAUGCCCGCCUCCUGCUCUCUGUUCUGAAGAGCAGAAUUCUGCUGACAGACAGCUGGAGAGUGGGUCCGUGUCUGGGGUGCUGAGUGAGCUUGUGUGGUCCCCACGAGCAUCUCUUGGCCUGCUUCCUCGCCCCCUAUUCCUCGCCAAGACCAUCCCUGUUGUUCUGCCGCCGGUGCGGUUGGGAGCUCUUCAGACCUUCUCGAGCAUCAUCCAGACAGUUAAGCAUGUAAAUGGCUAAGACAGAUGCUUUAUGACUUGCCUGGUUAUUAUGGGUGUCAUACCCCCAAAGAAGAAAAAUAUUAAUGAGUCGUUCUGUAACACUUACGUGACUCCAAUUAAGCUGUGAUGGGAAGGGCCCGGAGCCAAAUGGCGAUGGAGAACUUCGUCACUGGCAUCCGACUGUUAAGUCUCUCUCCUUUCAGCAUGAUCUUUUUCUCUCUCAACUGAAAUCCGUCAUCCAGCUUCCUGUGAGGCAACCAGUCCCUCAUGCUGACCCAGGCCAUCAAGGAUCUUCUCUGCAAGGUUCCAGACAAGGCUGCUACCACCAAAUGUAUCCUCUGACAUAAAUGACAGCCACGGAUGUGUUCGGUUUGUCUUGUGUAGCGUUUUAAACGAAAAUUAAUGGUUUGCAGCGUUCAAGAGAUUUCAUAUAAAUAUCUAAAUUCUCAGCUUCUCUGGGGAAAAAAACCAGAAAGAUUUGGCAAGACUGGGUUAACAUUUUCACAUUAGCAACAAUUGGCUGUUCCUUUUAGAUGGGCUGUGGCUGUUCACUUUGCCGUGGACCCCACUACUCCCAAUUGCCUCCCUUCUCACAUGGUCAAAUUGAUUAUCAGGAGCUGUGAACAGGGCACUCCAGCGUAGCUGUCACUGUAACACCAGGAAGUCAUCCUAUGUGGUGUGAUUUCUUCACGUUCCCCAUGGGAAUCGUGUCAUCUGCCCCCUUCCUCCCUCACGGAUGUGCAACAGCAGCUCUAAAUGCUUCUAGUUUCUCAGAGGAAAAAAAAGCCGGCAAGCCAGAAAAGUACAGAAAUAAGAGUCCUUUCUAUUUACUGUGUUCAUUAAAUGAACAAAUGAGCACAUCACUGGAAAGUACAGUGACUAAGAAGUAGCCCAAAGGGAAAAACCUAAUGGGGGAAUUUUAUUAAAAAACAUAAUUUACACAGCCACGCUCUGGGUUUCCCUCUCAGCCUCUCGGUGGUUCUCAAAGCCCCUGGGAGCAGCUUGAGUGGUGGAAAGUGUAUUUGAAGGUUCUAUCGGCUUGAGGGCGGGGCUGUGGGAGGGGGGCCCCCCAAAUCCUGUGGCCAGCUGAUAAGAGCUCUCCUCACAGGGCUGUUUGUGGGUCACGAGGUGCUUGGCCACAAACCUUGACUCUUGGCAGGGCUUGACUGUGGUAGAUUUGUUGGCAAGAUUAGUUCAAGUGCAUUCUUUUCAUUCAAAAACCCUUCUCUGGAAAGGAGGUUCACGAGGCACCCUGGGGGCAAAGGAGGAACCCCGCCAUUCUUUUUUUAUAGGACUUCCUCCUCUGUCACGUGGGUCCACCCAAGCGGCAAGAGUCUGGGUGGAGAGAGGGGUGCCCAGCCCAGCCACCAUGGGCUCUGCGCCCUGCCAGCCAGCAGCAGUCAUCCGAUGAGCUCCUCCUUGUCAAUCAUGAACCACUUUUGCAUAUUUGUGAUGUGCUCAGUGUUUCAUCAGAAGUGUGUUCACUGGCCCAUCCUGCAGGACUUGCCCUCAAAGGCAUGUUUUACUCCCUCUUCCCUUUUCUCCUGGUCCAGCCUCCCCCUUCUCUGAAUCCUGUCCUCACCAGCCCCUCCCCUCCUGGUAGAACCACCCUCAGCCUCUGCAUGGCACACUCCUCACCCCCAACCGUGGCCCUGCAGACAGAAAUUGUGUCGUGUUGAGAGACAAAGCAAGGUCCCCUUGGAGAAAGAGUGUCCUCCCACAGACCCUUCUUGAGAACAGUCUUUUCCAACGCACAACUUACAUGCUGCUUAGUAAUGUUUAAGAGUGAACUAAAACUUCCUCCCUUCCAUGCCCGUCCCCCAGAAAGCCCCUGCCCAGGGGGUAGGUGAAGAGAACUGGGGUAAAUUCUCGAGCUUUCUCCUCCCCGGCCUCCAAACCCCUCCAGGGUUCUCCAGGGUCUGAGUCCCAGCAUGAGGGCACGGCGCUGGCAAGUUCUCUCAGAGACGUGAGACCGCAAAGCCUCAGUCCCGGCGAAGCUGCCUGAGAAGGGAGGGCCUGAGGGUCAGCAGAAGUGGGAGCGCCUUGGUUACCUUUGUUUUCGGCCCACGCCCAUCUAUGAACUCGUCUCACUUGUUGAAGGAAGACCCCAAGGUGGGACUUGGAGUGUUGCUGUCCCAUCCACUGCCACGUCCAAGACACACUUACAGUAACGUGGCCUGUGCCACUUGAGAGCGGUUCCUAAGGAGUGGCCUUCUCAGAAGUGUGUUCCUACCUCAGUAUGAGGGGCUACUUAGAAGAUGGGGAAGAAUCUGGACACGUUCUCCUUUGCCUAAAUAAACAGGUUGGAUGACAAGGACGGACAACGCCAGAAGGCAGGGGGCCAGCCUGCAGCCUGGCGCCCGCGGCGCGGGAGGUGAAGGUGGCCUGUUUGGAGGAUGUGGACUUGCCCUGCACUGCCCACUGGGACCCGCAGGUCCCCUACGCGGUCUCCUGGGCCAAG